rnacentral:rRNA from 1 species
UUUAUAUUAAAAAUAAUUUUAAAAAAUAUUGUUUAAGUAUUUUAUAAAGAAAUAAUAAUAAUAAUAAUAGUUUAUUAGUAUUGUGAAAUAAUAUUGAAAUAAUUGAAAAAUUUUUAUAAAAUAAGAAAAUUUAAUUAAUUGUACCUUGUGUAUCAGGGUCUAUCUAUUAAAAAAUAAUUAUUUAUUUUUCUCGAAUUAAAAAGAGUUAAUAAAUUAUAAUAGUUAAUGUGAUAAAAUUAUUAUAAAUAAUUUAUUAGAAAUGAAAUGUUAUUCGUUUUUUAAGAUAUCUAGUUUUUUAAGAAAUAAAUUUAAUUUAUAAAUUUUAAAAAAUUUAAUUUAAUUUGAUUAGUUAAAUUAUUAUAAAAUUUAAAUAUUUUAGGGGAUAAGCUUUAAAAUAUAUUUUUAAAAAUUAAUAAAUAUUUUUUAUAAAUGUACGCUUAGAAAUAGCGAUCAUUUAUAAAUUUGUUAUAAUUUAUUAUAUAAAAUUGAUUAUUUAUUAUAUUUUAAGUUAUUUAUUAAAAAAUUUAUUUGAAUAUAAAAAAUAAAGAAAUAAUGAUAAAAUUAGUAUAAAUAUUGUAUAAAUAAAUUUAAAUGAAAAGUUUAAGUAAAGAAUUCGGCAAAUUUAAUAUUCGCCUGUUUAACAAAAACAUGUCUUUUUGUGUUAAUUAAAAAGUCUAGCCUGCCCAAUGAAUUUUUUUGAAUGGCCGCAGUAUAUUAACUGUGCAAAGGUAGCAUAAUCAUUAGUCUUUUAAUUGAAGGCUGGUAUGAAUGGUUGGAUGAAAUAUUAACUGUUUCAUUUAAAAUUUUUAUAGAAUUUUAUUUUUUAGUUAAAAAGCUAAAAUAUUAUUAAAAGACGAGAAGACCCUAUAAAUCUUUAUAUUUUAUUUUUAUUAAUUAUUUAGAUGUUUUUGAUUAUUAUAAAUUAAAAUAUUUUAUUGGGGUGAUAUUAAAAUUUAAUAAACUUUUAAUUUUUAAAAACAUAAAUUCAUGAAUUUUUGAUCCAUUAUUAAUGAUUAAAAAUUUAAGUUACUUUAGGGAUAACAGCGUAAUUUUUUUGGAGAGUUCAUAUCGAUAAAAAAGAUUGCGACCUCGAUGUUGGAUUAAGAGAUAGUUUUGGGUGUAGCAGUUCAAAUUUUAAGUCUGUUCGACUUUUAAAUUCUUACAUGAUCUGAGUUCAAACCGGCGUAAGCCAGGUUGGUUUCUAUCUUUAAUUAAUUAAAAUAUUUUAGUACGAAAGGAUUAAAUAUUUGAAUUAUAAAAUUUUUAUAAUUGAAUUAUAUUAAUUGUAAAUAA